AGUUAAGUGAAUAAGGGCGCACGGUGAAUGCCUUGGCACUAGGAGCCGAUGAA
rnacentral:rRNA from 1 species